AUAUAUUUACAAAAAAAAUACAUAAUAUAGCUUUGUAUGAUAUUAUUUUACUGAUGCAUCAUCCGUUUUCGCACCAAAAUAGAAAAACAGAGUAGCAAAGCAGAAUUACUACGGCAUUUACGGUAAAAGUGGCGGUACUGAACUUUAACCAGGAAGUUUAUCUCAGUUGAUUCACCCAUGCUGGUGUUAAAACUUCUGCUUCACAUGCACACUGUUGAUAAAUUAAAGACAAAGAAAGAAAAACAAAAGCAAAGUUAGGAGAGUCAAUGAUGGUGACAACUCAAGGGAACUGAGAGAUGGCUCUAGUGACUUAAAUAGCUUGCAAAACUCGGGGCACGAGGCAGCAAUCACAACAACAACUAACUUAAUUUACAGCAGAUUAUAAACUUCCCAAAAUAUUCAGGACAUCAGCAGGGCUGAGUGUAAAAGCUGGAUGACCAGUCCUAUUGUCGAGGCAUACUGGGCAACAGGAGGUGUCUGGCCUGGCCGGCAUCAUCUUUCCCCGGGAGUAAAGUAGGCCUACAGAAAAGUACUCAGAACAGCCUGAAAGUGAAGCCUGGGGAUGGAGUGACUCUUCACCCCCUGAUAGGGCCUGUGUUACAGGCAGAAGAUGUGCAUCUCUCCACCAGAGCGUGUCGACGGCGUCUUCCUGCAGAGACCCCUGCCUACCCCGGGACUGGAGCCUGAUACAGAGGAGGCCUCUGACGAGCUCAGCGCUAGGCUCCACCUCCACCCUGGGCUCCACCUCCGCCCUGGGCUCCACCUCCAUGGACCUGAGGUGCAGGCCAGGGAUCCGGGGCAGCCUGAUCCUGCAUCCAGUAUCCCCUGCCCUGUGUCCCUCCAACUCUCCCCUGCAACCCCCAGACUCCCGCUGAGUCUGAGCAGGGCAGUCUCAGUCUAGAGGUGGAGCAUUAGGUGAAGUUCAGAGACGGGCACAAAGAGGCUCAAGAGGAGGAGGAUACGGCAGCCCUGAGGUCAAAAGUCAUAUACAGUAUGAUCCCGAAAGAGACUUCGCCAACUACGGUACACAAAUAUAUGGAUUUCCUUUGAAUUGGAAAAUUCUUCAUCAAAAACAAUAUGCUAUAUCUCAAAUUCAUGGAAACUCAACUCUGAUUUUAUGCAUUUCAUUCAAUUUUUGUGCUAAUGCGAUGUUGAUUUUGUUAUUUUUGCUUACAGGAAUCACACCUCAUAGGGGGGUUUUCCUUUAUGGCCCCCCGGGAACAGGAAAGACUAUGAUUGGAUGAGCCAUAGACAAUGAGGUCGGGGCACACAUGACCGUAAUCAACCGUCCAGAAAUCAUGAGCAAGUAUGGUCAUAUUAUUCCUACCUAAUGAAAUGUGGUUGGAUACCAAGUACAAGAUCAUGUAUUGAGGGUUAGUGAUGCUCGUACAUCCAUAUCAAGUGACCUUUGUUUAUUUUGUUGUCAUGUUCGACCUGUCUUUACAGAUUUUAUGGUGAAACAGAGGUCAGAUUGAGGCAGAUAUUCACAGGAGCCUCUCAAAGGUAAAUAUUGAGAGAAAAAAUACAUAUCAACCUUAGAAAUGCAGACUGACAUCCAAAAUAUCCCCCUCUUUCCUGGACAUCCUUCAGACAUUCUCCCUCUGUCUGCUGAGUGCCUGCUGAAUCUUGAUUUUUGUUCUGUCAGCGAAUCAGUCUAAUGAGAAAAAGAGAGCGCAGGCCCAUGAUCAGAGAUGGCUCGACAGCCGCCCUCCGCCCCUUUAGAGAACACAGGGAGCCUGGGAAACCCAUCACCGCUGGUCGCCAUCAUGUGCCAAAUUGGCAUCACGUUAUGGCCAAGUAUAUCUUCAUCUCCCCAGCCCAGCUCCUUGGUGCAGAUGGUGCACUGAAGUAGCUGCUCUCCCUCCUGCUAUCUGUUUUCCAUACCGAUGCUAAGGCUUGUUGUAUAAUCCAAGGUCACCAACCACCAAGGGCCUGCUGCUGUGGAAUGUGGCGAAAGCACUUCCUGCUCCCAGAAUUCUUCUCCCUCCACUCUCACUGUAAUUUAUUUGUGUUUUGGUCCCUCUGCUGGGCCUGUGGUAUAGGGGGAGGUGGAAAUAGCAUUAUUUCUCAGCCAGACCACCCAUUUUAGAACAUAGUACAAGGAGCUCUGUUUAUAGUAUUAAUAUUGUAUUGCCAGAUAAUGCCUGAUAGUUUCAGAAGAUGUAAAACAGUAAUUUAUUAAGCCUUCAGACACAUUUAUGGUCUGGAAAUGUCCUUUAUGUUUGAGCUUUUAGUGUCUGGGUCAUUGGUUAGGGCUAAGAUUAUUGAUUAAUAAUUUAUUACACCUACAUGCUCAAAUUCAAGCACAGUCAUGCUGCCUUAAAAGCAUACUUGCUUCAUCCUACUCCAAUUGCUCUCUUACAUUCAAACCCCUCAUUUACUGAUUUAAUGCUUGUUUUACCAGGGAAGUUGACUGAAACUUGAGUGCACAUUCUUAUACCAUGGUAACAUUCCUAACUGUCCUGGUUGGUCUCUUCCUCCAGGAGGGCCACUCAGGCCAGCUGCUGGUCCUUGUGGCACCAACCGGCCCCACGCCCUGGACCCAGCUCUCUAAAUCAAAUUUUAUUCGUCACAUGCGCCGAAUACAACAGGUGUAGACCUUAAGUGAAAUGCUUACUUACAAGCCCUUAACCAACAAUGCAGUUCAAGAAAGAGUAAAGAAAAUAUUUCCUAAGUAAACUAAAGUAACAAAAAUUAUAAAAAGUAUCACAAUAAUAUAACAAUAACGGGGCUAUAUACAGGGGGUAACGGUGCCAAGUCAAUGUUCGGGGGUACAGGUUAGUCGGAGGUAAUUUGUACAUGUAGGUAUGGGUAAAGUGACUAUGCAUAGAUAAUAGACAGCGCUUAGCAGCAGUGAAAAAACAAAUGGGGGGGGGGUCAAUGUAAAUAGUUUGGGUGGCCAUUUAGUUCAGGUAGGCUGUUGAUUAUGUGUUCAGCAGUCUCAUGGCUUGGGGAUAGAAGCUGUUAAGGAGCCUUUUGGUCCUAGACUUGGCGCUCCAGUACCGCUUUCCGCUCUGGUACCGAUUGCUAAACUUCCUCUGACACUGCCUAGUAUAAAGGUCCUGGAUGGCAGGAAGCUUGGCCCCAGUGAUAUACUGGGCCGUACGCACUACCCUCUGUAGCGCCUUACGGUCAGAUGCCGAGUAGUUUCCAUGCCAGGCGGUGAUGCAACCAGUCAGGAUGCUUUCGAUGGUGCAGCUGUAGAACUUUUUGAGGAUUUGGGGACCCAUGCCAAAUCUUUUCAGUCUCCUGAGGGGGAAAAGGUGUUGUUGUGCCCUCUUCACGAUUGUCUUGGUGUGUUUGGACCAUGAUAGCUCGUUGGUGAUGUGGACACCAAGGAACUUGAAACUCUCGACCCGCUCCACUUCAGACCCGACAAUGUCAAUGGGGGCCUGUUCAGCCCUCCUUUUCCUAUAGUCCAUGAUCAGCUCAUUUAUCUUGCUCACAUUGAGGUAGAGGUUGCUGUCCUGGCACCACACUGCCAGGUCUGAUCGUUGUCGGUGAUCACGCCUACCACUGUUGUGUCGUCAGAAAACGUAAUGAUGGUUUUGGAGUCGUGUUUGGCCAUGCAGUCGUGGGUGAGCAGGGAGUACAGGAGGGGACUAAGCACGCGCCCCUGAGGGGCCCCAGUGUUGAGGAUCAGCGUGGCAGAUGUGUUGUUGCCUACCCUUACCACCUGGGGGUGGCCCAUCAGGAAGUUCAGGACCCAGUUGCAGAGGGAGGUGUUUAGUCCCAGGGUCCUGAUCUUUCACGUUAUAAAAAUAAAGAAAAACCCUUGAAUGAGUAGGUGUGUCCAAACUUUUGACUGGUAGUAUAUAUGAAAAAGCCAUGUUUCUCACCACUCCCAUGUUGUGGUUUAUUUAGAGCUGGAUUACUGCGAGGCCUACGAGACAGAGUGGCUCACCACACCAACCCUCUGAGACUCUCCUGACCUAAGGAAGUGGGCUUGUACUUUGGCUUGUGGAUCCCAUUGAGAAAAACCUUCUUUAAAGUAAAACCCAAACCAUUUACUUGUUGUGAAAUUCCUCAUGGCCCAUACAGCCUUAACCCUGCAACCCAAUCCCCCUAACCGGGAA
ensembl:lncRNA